AGUGAACGCUGGCGGUAGGCCUAACACAUGCAAGUCGAACGGCAGCACAGGAGAGCUUGCUCUCUGGGUGGCGAGUGGCGGACGGGUGAGGAAUACAUCGGAAUCUACUCUGUCGUGGGGGAUAACGUAGGGAAACUUACGCUAAUACCGCAUACGACCUACGGGUGAAAGCAGGGGACCUUCGGGCCUUGCGCGAUUGAAUGAGCCGAUGUCGGAUUAGCUAGUUGGCGGGGUAAGGCCCACCAAGGCGACGAUCCGUAGCUGGUCUGAGAGGAUGAUCAGCCACACUGGAACUGAGACACAGUCCAGACUCCUACGGGAGGCAGCAGUGGGGAAUAUUGGACAAUGGGCGCAAGCCUGAUCCAGCCAUACCGCGUGGGUGAAGAAGGCCUUCGGGUUGUAAAGCCCUUUUGUUGGGAAAGAGAUCCAGCUGGCUAAUACCCGGUUGGGAUGACGGUACCCAAAGAAUAAGCACCGGCUAACUUCGUGCCAGCCGCCGCGGUAA
rnacentral:rRNA from 1 species